AUGCGGGCUAGACCGGGGGGCUCGGCGUCCCCUGUAACCCGAAACCGUCGAUAUGCGGGGGUCGAAGCCCUGAGGGCGGCAUUUCCGACCAUGGGAUAGCCCAAGCUUCAAGCGUAGAAGUCUCGUCCUGCAGGACCGGCGGUGUCUCCUUGCUCAGCCGGAGGGUUGGACAAGGAGACUUUGCCCGCCGAAACCCGCUAGGCCCGGAAGGGAGCAACGGUAGGCGGGACGUGCGGUGCUUGCAGGGGCGCGGGAUGGAGCUUGAGGCUUGGCCAACUAUCCUAUGGAAGGGGUGUCCACCUCGGGGCGUGCCCGCUA
rnacentral:SRP_RNA from 1 species